CCCUUAGAUGUACGGGGCUGCACGCGCGCUACACUGAAGGAAUCAGCGUGCUAAAACCAUUGUCGAAAGGCAUUGGUAAACCCAUUAAAAUCCUACGUGAUUGGGAUCGGGAAUUGCAAUUAUUUCCCUUGAACGAGGAAUUCCCAGUAAGUGUGGGUCAUAAGCUCGCGUUGAUUACGUCCCUGCCCUUUGUACACACCGCCCGUCGCUGCCCGGGACUGAGCCGUUUCGAGAAAAGCGGGGACUGCUGCUGUCGGGGCUUUCGGGCCUUGGCUUCGGUGGAAACCGCUUUAAUCGCAGUGGCUUGAACCGGGCAAAAGUCGUAACA
rnacentral:rRNA from 1 species